GACGUUAGCGGCGGACGGGUGAGUAACACGUGGGCAACCUACCUUAUAGUUUGGGAUAACUCCGGGAAACCGGGGCUAAUACCGAAUAAUCUAUUUUACUUCAUGGUGAAAUACUGAAAGACGGUUUCGGCUGUCGCUAUAAGAUGGGCCCGCGGCGCAUUAGCUAGUUGGUGAGGUAACGGCUCACCAAGGCGACGAUGCGUAGCCGACCUGAGAGGGUGAUCGGCCACACUGGGACUGAGACACGGCCCAGACUCCUACGGGAGGCAGCAGUAGGGAAUCUUCCACAAUGGGCGAAAGCCUGAUGGAGCAACGCCGCGUGAGUGAAGAAGGUUUUCGGAUCGUAAAACUCUGUUGUAAGGGAAGAACAAGUACAGUAGUAACUGGCUGUACCUUGACGGUACCUUAUUAGAAAGCCACGGCUAACUACGUGCCAGCAGCCGCGGUAAUACGUAGGUGGCAAGCGUUGUCCGGAAUUAUUGGGCGUAAAGCGCGCGCAG
rnacentral:rRNA from 1 species